rnacentral:rRNA from 1 species
GACGAACGCUGGCGGCGUGCCUAACACAUGCAAGUCGAACGGAAAGGCCCUGCUUUUGUGCGGUGCUCGAGUGGCGAACGGGGGAGUAACACGUGAGUAACCUGCCCUUGACUUUGGGAUAACUUCAGGAAACUGGGGCUAAUACCGGAUAGGAGCUCCUGCUGCAUGGUGGGGGUUGGAAAGUUUCGGCGGUUGGGGAUGGACUCGCGGCUUAUCAGCCUGUUGGUGGGGUAGUGGUGUACCAAGUCUUUGACGGGUAGCCGGCCUGGGCGGGUGAGCGGCGACAUUGCGACUGCGAUACGGCCCAGACGCCAACGGGAGGCAGCGGUGGGGAGUAUUGCACAAUGGGCGGAAGCCUGAGGCAGCAACGCCGCGUGCGGGAUGCCGGCCUUCGGGUUGUAAACCGAUUUCGCCUGUGCCGAAGCGUGAGUGACGGUAAUGGGUAAAGAAGCACCGGCUAACUACGUG